GACGAACGCUGGCGGCGUGCUUAACACAUGCAAGUCGAGCGGUAAGGCCCUUUCGGGGGUACACGAGCGGCGAACGGGUGAGUAACACGUGGGUGACCUGCCCUUAGCUCUGGGAUAAGCCUGGGAAACUGGGUCUAAUACCGGAUAUGACCUCAUGACUCAUGUUGUGGGGUGGAAAGCCUUGUGCGGCUAGGGAUGGGCCCGCGGUCUAUCAGCUUGUUGGUGGGGUAAUUGCCUACCAAGGCGACGACGGGUAGCCGGCCUGAGAGGGCGACCGGCCACACUGGGACUGAGACACGGCCCAGACUCCUACGGGAGGCAGCAGUGGGGAAUCUUGCGCAAUGGGCGAAAGCCUGACGCAGCGACGCCGCGUGAGGGAUGACGGCCUGGUGUAACUCUUCUANCCUCGACGAGACGAAGUAGACGGUAGGGCGAG
rnacentral:rRNA from 1 species